CGUACGGUUCUCCUUUGUUCUGCCGCUCAGCGGGGUCCAGACACCUGGCAGGGUUGCUACAUUUCUCUGGUCAUCUCAUGCUGCCGUUUCUCUGCCCGGUGGGGUACAGCCUGCUCCCCAGGCUCUCUGGUUAGGCGGAGUUGUAGAAAACGGCGCUCUAGAAAGCAGUUCUGGUGAGAGGUGUGUUUAAAGCAGCCCUACCACGCUGGACACCUGUUUGGUGGUGCCGCUCCAUGCAGGCACCUCUGUCCUCUCCAGAGCUCUCUUCCCACUUUUCAGUGCAUAAUAUCCAACCAGGAGACUGGCUUCUAGUUAAGGAGUGGAAAGAAGCACUACUGGUGGCUAAGUGGCGUGGACCUUUCCAGGUGUUGCUGACCACAGAAACAGCCGUCAAGAGAGCUGAACACGGGUGGACCCAUCACACUCGGUGAUGUGUCAAGGUCUCUAAAGCUCCAGAGGUUUGGACAUCUCAGCUGGAAGAGAAGGAUGGGAAGCCAUGACUGACACUCUGCAGGAGUGGACUGGAGCAGUAGCCGUGUGUCGACAUCGGGGGAAGCCCUGAAUGCCUACACACAGACUGCCUGCUGAAAUAGUCUGUAUGGGCGUCCUUACUCUCAAAUCUCCAGUCUAUUCAGAGACUGCCAGCUAUUCACCACUCUUUACAGAAGUAAAAGUGAACGCCAUUUAUUUCUA